rnacentral:rRNA from 1 species
UAGGGAAUCUUCCGCAAUGGGCGAAAGCCUGACGGAGCAACGCCGCGUGAGUGAUGAAGGUCUUCGGAUCGUAAAACUCUGUUAUUAGGGAAGAACAAAUGUGUAAGUAACUAUGCACAUCUAGACGGUACCUAAUCAGAAAGCCACGGCUAACUACGUGCCAGCAGCCGCGGUAAUACGUAGGUGGCAAGCGUUAUCCGGAAUUAUUGGGCGUAAAGCGCGCGUAAGCGGUUUUUUAAGUCUGAUGUGAAAGCCCACGGCUCAACCGUGGAGGGUCAUUGGAAACUGGAAAACUUGAGUGCAGAAGAGGAAAGGGGAAUUCCAUGUGUAGAGGUGAAAUGCGCAGAGAUAUGGAGGAACACCAGUGGCGAAGGCGACUUUCUGGUCUGUUACUGACGCAGAUGUGCGAAAGCGGGGGGAUCAAACAGG